rnacentral:rRNA from 1 species
AUUGAACGCUGGCGGCAGGCCUAACACAUGCAAGUCGAACGGUAACAGGAAACAGCUUGCUGUUUCGCUGACGAGUGGCGGGCGGGUGUGUAAUGUCUGGGAAACUGCCUGAUGGAGGGGGAUAACAACUGGAAACGGUAGCUAAUACCGCAUAACGUCGCAAGACCAAAGAGGGGGACCUUCGGGCCUCUUGCCAUCGGGUGUGCCCAGAUGGGAUUAGCUAGUAGGUGGGGUAACGGCUCACCUAGGCGACGAUCCCUAGCUGGUCUGAGAGGAUGACCAGCCACACUGGAACUGAGACACGGUCCAGACUCCUACGGGAGGCAGCAGUGGGGAAUAUUGCACAAUGGGCGCAAGCCUGAUGCAGCCAUGCCGCGUGUAUGAAGAAGGCCUUCGGGUUGUAAAGUACUUUCGGCGGGAAUGAAGGGAGUCAAGUUAAUACCUUGGCUCAUUGACGUUACCCGCAGAAGAAGCACCGGCUAACUCCGUG